rnacentral:rRNA from 1 species
AGUGAACGCUGGCGGUAGGUCUAACACAUGCAAGUCGAACGGCAGCACAGUAAGAGCUUGCUCUUACGGGUGGCGAGUGGCGGACGGGUGAGGAAUACAUCGGAAUCUACUUUUUCGUGGGGGAUAACGUAGGGAAACUUACGCUAAUACCGCAUACGACCUACGGGUGAAAGCAGGGGAUCUUCGGACCUUGCGCGACUGAAUGAGCCGAUGUCGGAUUAGCUAGUUGGCGGGGUAAAGGCCCACCAAGGCGACGAUCCGUAGCUGGUCUGAGAGGAUGAUCAGCCACACUGGAACUGAGACACGGUCCAGACUCCUACGGGAGGCAGCAGUGGGGAAUAUUGGACAAUGGGCGCAAGCCUGAUCCAGCCAUACCGCGUGGGUGAAGAAGGCCUUCGGGUUGUAAAGCCCUUUUGUUGGGAAAGAAAAGCAGCAGGUUAAUACCCCGCUGUUCUGACGUUACCCAAAGAAUAAGCACCGGCUAACUUCGUG